CAAGCAGUGUCUAAUUGUUGAGGCGCGCGUGCGCGACCUCGGAGGUGCGCGCGUACGCGACCUCGGAGGUGCGCGCGUACGCGCGUGCGCGACCUCGGAGGUGCGCCCGCGUAGGGCAUCGGAGGCGGCAGCAGACAGCAGCAGCACGUAGGAAGUAGGCCCUGGAGGAUUCACGCCUGCACCUGUCACCGUAGCGACCAGAGCCGUCCGCGCUGAGUGGAGAAGAUGCCGCAGAAGAGGAGUCCAGCCAGACGCAGGACUGGGGAAGGACAUCCAACCUUCGGUGGACCGGGACACUGCAGCAAGGGAGGAGACUGACCAGCAAUGGGAGCACCGGCAGAAGACCCUGGCUGGCUUAAAGAAGACGGCACGGAACAGCGGGGAGGAUGGCGCAGAUCGGAAUCCUGCAGCAGGAGAGAAUAUUCCCCUUUGGAGCGCAGCAGACCACACUGAAAAGGGUGCAUCCCCGGUGCGGUGCGGUGCUCUGCAUCCCGGGUGGCGCCGAAGAUGUGGAGUGUCGGAGGUGGCAGAAGCGCCGCAGCUUGGGGAACUGAUCUGGCAGCAAGUCCAUCAUCCUCUGAGACCAAAAAGCAACUAACUUCCUGUGUGGUCAAUGUGUUAUCUAGUUUCUGGAGGAGGGAUUCACGAUGAGUCACCAGUUCCUUUGUAUAUGCUGAACAGGUUCAGCCUUGGGGAUGUCCAAAGGGCUGGCCUGAGUUUCCUGUCCACUACCUGUUUGGUCUAUGUAUUGUUCUAAUAAAAGUGAUUUUAGCUUUUA